UGGCUGAGAUGAACGCUAGCGGCAGGCUUAACACAUGCAAGUCGAGGGGCAUCGCGGGGUAGCAAUACUCUGGCGGCGACCGGCGAAAGGGUGAGUAACGCGUGAGCAACAUGCCCGGUACUGGGGGAUAGUCAUUGGAAACGGAUGCGUAAUACCCCGUAACGAACAGAGUCCGCAUGGUCUUUGUUUGAGAGAGUUCAUUUGAUACCGGAUUGGCUCGCGUACCAUUAGCUAGUUGGCGGGGUAACGGGCCCACCAAGGCGACGAUGGUUAGGGGUUCUGAGAGGAAGGUCCCCACAUUGGAACUGAGACACGGUCCAGACUCCUACGGGAGGCAGCAGUGAGGAAUAUUGGACAAUGGCCGGGAGGCUGAUCCAGCCAUGCCGCGUGCGGGAAGGGACGGCCCUAUGGGUUGUAAACCGCUUUUGUCAGGGGAGCAAUUAAGGUCCACGUGUGGUCCGAUGAGAGUACCUGGCGAAUAAGCAUCGGCUAACUCCGUGCCAGCAGCCGC
rnacentral:rRNA from 1 species